AGUCCCGGCAGAGGGCUCCGCGAAGACAGUGCCGUCGUUGGGCGCGCGCGCGGGCGGGAGCUGUCGGGGCGGGGCGGCACCGCCGAGCUCCGAGCUGUGAGGACCGCCCCGGGCCUUGGGCGGGGCGGGGGCCAGGGAAGGGCGUGCGCAGGAUUGGGGAGCACGUUUUGCGUCUUGCUGUGCGUGAGGAAGCGGGGAUCCAGGUCAAGGCUAUGGAAAGGUCAGGGAAGGGUGUCAGUGCGCCCGUCCUGCAGGGAGUCCAGAUCCGAGAGGUUAGGGCGGGACCUGGGGCGAGCUGGGCGGUGGGGGAACAGUGGGGUCAUCAGGAGGUGGAGGCCCAGCGGGAGUGUGGCGGGGGAGGCGGGGAAUCAGGAGGGCCAGGUGUUUGGAGGCGCUGGGGUGGGAAGGGUCCAGGCGAGGUUGCGGGUGGGUGCCAGCCCCGUCUCACAUUUGGAUGAAGUAGGAAAAGGCAGCUUUUAGGGUACACCCUGACAUGUUCUGUCAGGGCCCUUAAAGGGCCCACGGGCCGGAGGAGAGGGGAAAAGGAUGAGGGCUCAGCCUGGCAAAGGACAGAAAGUGGUGGGUGUAGGAGGUGGACCUUGGUCUGGUGGCCUAGCCUGCCCUGUGCUCCCUGCAAUGCCGGGUGACUUGGGUCACUGGGCGGCCAGGCCAGAGGUGGGCCUCUAGGUGCCCCCCAUUCUGGAUGCUGAGGGUCCCUGUGAGGGUCUGGCGGCAGAGGCCUGCGCUUAUGGGUCAGCAGCUAGGACUGAUGGGUUGAAUAAGAAGGGCCCAAGUUAGGCCAGUUGUUCUCACAGACCCAGAGGUCCCUAGAGUUUAUGAUGCCCAGAGUCUAGGAGAGGGAAAUGCACACACAUGCCCUCGAGGACACCAGCAUCCUGACAUCCAAGUUACUGUACUGCCCUGGUUAGCAAGAAAGAACAUCUGUUCCCUUCUCUAUGCAAUUGUUACAGUAACUGUUGUUACAUUUCUUAAGAUACAUAGCUAUAUAUGUAGUCACUCUGCAAACACACACACUCUGAUAGACACACGAUUGCACUCAUGGACACAAAAACGGAAAAUAAACAUGCGGACAGCUACUCCCAGUCCCCAGACCUGACCCUCAUGUGACACCUUCACCAGACAUGGUACUUUCUGGGACCUGUAAUGUGUGUUGUGAUGCCCAGCACAUUUGUUGGAUGGUACAAAGGGAAUUAUGAUACUUAAUCAAAAAGCCAUACAAGCCAGAUAACAUUAAGGCUUAACGGUAACAAUAGGUGAUUCAGUUAGGAAAUUAAUGUUAGAGAUCGGUUUUCCUUGUGGAAAUCAGUGGUAUUCAAAUGCCUGAAUUGGCUACCCGGUUUUAGAGCUGCUCUCCAUGUAUGAGCAGGACAUAGGAUUCACUCUCUGGAAUGCUUCUGUAGGCAGGACUUUGAAAUGACCCUGUCCUCAGCCUGGAGGAUGCGGUAUUCUGAUUGUCUGGUGCUGUGUCAACUGGGCCUGCCUCUGGGAUAGUGUUGUGGCUGCCCCACGAGAACCCUAUAUGCCAGGUGAGCUUGAAGCACCUCAGAGACAGAGCACUGAAGCUCCAUGACACAGGGCUAUUCAGCUAUCAUUGCCCCUGUUUGCCAGCACCUCUGUCUAAAUAACUUGUGUGGGACAGAAUUAGGUCCGAGUCUGGUAUUCUGUUCAUCUAGCCUGGUAGCCAGGUAGUGAGAGAAGAAACCUGUGGCCCUUGUCUAAAUAUGAGGUGGUCAGUAUUUAACAACAAAUCAACAAUAGGGUAUGACCAGACUGACUUGGGUCUGUUUGCAACACCUGAACCUUAUGCACAUGCUCAUAAAUGCCCUCUCCAAAAUACACACACACACCCCCAAGAAAGGUGAGAUACAAAUACACACUCCUCCCACACAGAAACAUGCAUGCUCAUUCACUCUGGCAGAAACCCUGAUCACACUUACGCUCCUGCACUCAGAUCUAGGGAGUAGAAAAUGGGCCAAGCCAACUCCAAAGACAGCUCAUAGUUUCAUUUUCAUCUCCUCACCCCCUUCCCAGGGGAGCGCUGAGCAGGGAGUAGCCCACUGCCACCCUUCCAGAAGCCCAGCUACCCAGAAGCUGGAGAACAAGUAGACAAGGGGCUGAGGCUGGCCAGGGGAAUGCCCUCCAGGGCAUGGGCUGAGAAGGCCUUGGCACCAGGGUGCUCUGCUGUUGGCAUUUUCCUGAGUCCGUCAGGAGCAUAUUUGUGCUCUGUGUGUUGUUUAGAGCUGGCUGCAUCUUUAAAAUUGUAAGUGCCAACUUGUGUUUUGUGUUUCAAAGUUCCAGAAGCAAAAACAAAAAAAGUUCGGGUACAGCGGCUCACACCUGUAAUCCCAGCUCUUAGGGAGAUGGAAACUGGAGGAUCACUUGAGGCCAGGAGUUCAAGACCAGCCUGGGCAACAUAGCAAGACCCAGUCUCUUAAAAGAAAAUUAAAAAGAAAGAGUAAAUAAAGUUCCAGAAGCUUUGCUCUCCUUAUCCAAGCAGCGUUUGUACUUUGGCACUGGAAAGUGCGGGAGUCAGGGGUUUGUGAGAGCACGUGUUGGUUGUCGCAUUGGUCAGGAUGCACCCAUCACUCUGUAUCCUCCGGCUAAGGAGUGCUGGAGAGCCGUGAUGCCCACUGGCUGUUGUCCCGGGCUUGUCACUCAAAGACGGGACAGAUGUCUCCUUCCAGUUCUGGCCCAGACUGUCCUCUGAGCUGGGAGCACAGGGCUCCUCCCUGAGUAGAUGACCUGUCAGGUCAGCUGGAUCCAGAGGUCCCACAACCUCUCAAGGCAGAGCUGGCAGCUGUCCAGAAGGCAGCAGCCAUGAUAACAAACGUGGUUGGCCCAGGCCCAGACCUGCCCCCUGGCAACAGAGAACAGCAGGACUGGCUUUGACAUUGUUUUAGGGAGCCAGGCACCCUUCCCAGUCAGGGCAGAAGCCCCCUGGAGAGCUGGGCUCCUGACCUCACCGGCCUCCACCUCCUGAAGGCUCUGGCCAAAUCCACAUGUGACCUCAGGAAGGGAACACCCUCAGGAGUCCAAAGCCCCUGUUCCCCUGCUCGGUUGGCCACAGUCACUCUCCUGCCUCGGGGUUGUGUCUGUAGCAGGCUCUCUUGGGCAGCAGGGGUCAGGAGCACGGAGGGCAGACCCAAGACGGACCAGGCAUCUCUGGGGAGGCGACAUCCCCUCCCACCGGCAGCCCAGAGACAGGAGCUCCCCAGCAGUGCCCCUCAAGGCCAGAUUCGCAAGUAGGUGCCCGUGGAGCAAACAGAGAAAAGCGGGAACACGCGCUCCUGGAAGUUGACGCGGAAGGUGUAGAGGUGGCGCAUGUCCUCCACAGCGUAGAAGGACACGGCUCCCACCUCCAGGUCCAGGGCCACCCGCACGCGCGACAGGUGCCCGCAGCUGAGGGGCGACCGCUCGGGGCUGGUCACGGCCCAGUACUGGCCGCCGUUGAGCUGCAGGGCCCAGACGCCCUCCUCGGGAGUGAAGGGCGUCAGGCCCUUUCGGCGCACGCUCUCGCGGGCCACGCCAAAGGCCCAGCCGUCCUUAGAGCCCACCUCCACCUCCCAGUGAUGCCGGCCCGAGGAGAAGCCGCAGGACGCCAGGACGCGGGUGUUGGUGUCGAAGCGGCAGGGGUGGUUGGGCAGGUCCUGGGCCCGCUCGCCGAGGCGCACGCCCUUAAGAUCCAGAGAGAGGAUGAGGCGCGGGUUGGCCGUGUCGGGAUCCAAGGUGAGCUCCACUGCAGACAGAGACAGGGAGAAAUGUCCCCACGCAGCCAGGCCCCUGGCACAGUCUUUGCAGGGCCGCGCCCGACCUUGCUUUGCAACCUGCCUGCCUUUCCCUCUAGAAUCCCCCCAGCACCCAGCGCCAAGGCCCAACCAACCCCCACGCUCUGCCUCCCAGAGAUUUUGCUUCCCCCCGCCCCGACCACUCAACAAGUACUUACUGAAAUCAAACAAAUGCAAUGUGUGGGCCUGGUUUGAACCCCAAUUCAACAGAUGGGGAUAUUUGAAUGCUAGACAUUGGAAAGAAUCAUUAAUCUGUCCAGGUGUGAGGACUGCUUUGUGGUUAUGUUUUACAAAGUCUGUUUCUUUAGAGAUAACACACUGAGGUAUUUAUGGCAAUGAUAUGUUGUCUCUGAUGCUUUAAAAUAAUACAGUAGGCCAGGCGCAGUGGCUCACGCCAGUAAUUCCAGCACUUUGGGAGGCCAAGGUGUGUGGAUCACGAGGUCGGGAAAUCAAGAACAUCCUGGCUAACAUGGUGAAACCCCGUCUCUACUAAAAAUAAAAAAAUAAAAUAAAUUAGCCGGGCGUGGUGGCGGGCGCCUGUAGUCCCAGCUACUCGGGAGGCUGAGGCAGGAGAAUGGCAUGAACCCGGGAGGUGGAGAUUGCAGUGAGCUGAGAUCACGCCACUGCACUCCAGCCUGGGCGACAGAGCAAGACUCUGUCUCAAAAAUAAAAAUAAUAAUAACAAUAAUACAGUGGAGGCCGGGUGAGAUGGUGCACAGCUGCGAUACCAGCACUUUGGGAGGCCAAGGCCAAUGGGUCACAUGAGGUCAGAAGUUUGGGACCAGCUUGGGCAACAUGGCGGAAAACUUGUUUUGUAUUUUCUCUACUAAAAAUACAAAAAUUAGCCCGGCAUGGUGUCCUGUGCCUGUAAUUCCAGCUGUUUGGGAGGCUGAGGCAUGAGAAUCGCUUGAACCCAGGAGGCAGAGGUUGCAGUGAGCAGAGAUCAGGCCACUGUACUCCAUGAUCUCACUCCAGAGUAAGACCCUGUCUCAGAAAACAAAAUAAUCCCACAGGAAGUGGAUAGCAGUGUCUAUGAAAACUGUGGCCACUAAUUGAUCACUGCGGACGGUGAGAGAUGGGUAUGUAACAUUCUUUACACUCUUCUCUCUACUUUUGAGUAUGUUUGAAAUUUUUCAUAAUAAAAAGUUAAGGCCAGGUGUAGAGGCUCAUGCUUGUAAUCCUAGCACUUUGGGAAGCAGAGGUGGGAAGACAGCUUGAGCCCAGGUGUUGGAGACCAGCCUGGGCAAUAUAGCGAGACAUCCGUCUCCACAAAACAUAGAAAAUUUAGCCAGGCAUGGUAGUGUGCUCCUGUAGUCCCAGCUACUCGAGGACGCCCAGGAGAGAGGAUCGCUUGAGCUUGCGGGGUGGAGGCUGCAGUUCCACUGCACUCCACCCUGGGCAACAAAGCGAUACCUUGUCUCCAAAAAAAAAAAAAAAAGUUAAAAUAUGUACACUUACUGUGAGCACUACUACGAUUGAGGCCCUGGGGGUACCACAGAGUAUCAGAGUAGUCCUGCCUGCCUGCAGCUUCCUUCCCACAGGGAGAGGAUUGAGGAUAGAUUAUAAACAGAAGAUGAGAGGGACCAGAAGAGCAGGCUGUAACUUCAACCAGAGUGGCCAGGGAAGACCCUCACUGAAAAGGGGCAUCGAGCAGACAGAUAUAAAGAAGGCAAAGAAGCAGGCCACAGGACUGGCUGGGGAAAGCAUGCUCCAGGUAGGGGCCUGGGGUGGGGGAGCCUGGCAGUGCAAAGGCCCCGGGAUGGGUGUGUGCUUGGUACACUGAAGGAACAGCAGGGAGGAUGUGUAGCUGCGUGGAGUAGAAGGGGUGUGCAGUGAGGCUAGAGCCCGUGGGCCCUUGAGACCUCCAUGGGGACUCUGACCUUUACCAAGUCAGAGGGGCUGUGGCAGGGCUCUGAGCAGAGGAGGGCCUGGUCUCACUCAGGUGUUUUAGGUGGCACCCAGACACACUCUGACUUAGCUCAGACAUCAGCAUCAGGAAUAUGUGCCCUCCCCUCCCCUCCUCUGGGUGUUGGAUGCCACACAUUCCAGAGCUUUGCAAGAGUAAAAACGAUAUUCCUUCCAGUCUUUAGCUUCCCCUUGCUUUCCUGGUCCCCUGUAUACACCCCAUUCCCAGGAGAGGUUUCCAUCCAUCUUGGAGUGGGGACCGGGUAGAGGCUCACCCAGGUGGCCGAGAAGCCUUUCCCAGUCUGAGUAUCUCGAGGUACAGGGCAUUCCUGCUCCUAACCAACCUGCAGCAUUUGGGCCAACAUCUGAGGGUGUCAGAGCUCCCAGGAUGGGGAGGGGGUGGUGUGGGGGAGGGGACAGAGGAACAGGGUUGCUGAGGUGGGUGGGCUGAAGGAACCGACCAUAUGCAAAACCCUGAGAUGGUCACGAGCAGGGAGUAGGAUCUCUGUGUGGCAGACAGUCCAUACUCGCCAUCACAGCACCAUCCCUACCUUUCUCCUCUUUCUCCAGCUCUCCCCGAAGGUCCUCUGAGGAGGAGAAACAAAGCAAGGCGUGCAUGAGCGACACGGGAGAUUAUAUGGCAAGGUCACCAGCUCUUUAUAUCCCAACUGACUCAUUCAUUCCCCAGAGACUCCUAAGGCCAAGAGUGAACGUGCAGGCACAGGGCCAAGCAUGGGGAGCGGGGGGCAGGGGGCCCAUACCCAAGCAUUCUAGCUCUACCCAAGUGGCUCUGAGCUGAGCUCCCCUGCACAGCUCUCUUCCUAACCCCAGUCCCCCAGCAGUACCCCUCUACCCCAUCUGUGCCCAUGAGAAGCGGCAUGCCCUGCGGGGGCCUGACUAGAUUUGCCACCACAGCCCCUACACCAAUCUGGCCAUGGCACAGCCAGCUCCUAUUUUCACACACAGCUUCUGGAAAGCACACCCAGGGACCCCUGAGCUACCAGGAACCCUCCACCACCACCGCACUAUGUGGCCCAGCUUGGCGCCCAGGCCCCUACCUUUGAACUUCUUCAGCAUCCCUUUUAAGACAAAGGUCUUGAGAGAAACAUUCCAGACUUUAUUCUUCAUCUCAGAAGAGACUGUGGUUGGCUUGGGGCCAGGCACAUUGCUACACCUGCAGGACAAGGGCUCUGAGAAGGGCCUGUGUGCACCAUUUUGCUCCCACAGGCUGUGACAAUUAGGAUGGCGAGGUCCUCUUGGCAGAAAGAGGUAGAAAAGGGAGAGCCAGACCUCAUGCAGAAAAACCCAUGGCCAGGCAGGUGGGCGUUUGUCUCGGAAGGUCCCCAGGCAAGCAAGUCGGGGGAUCAGGAGGUGAGAGGUCAGGGGACAGGGAAUAAAGACAAGGCUCAGUGAAAAGGGAAGAAGCAACUUAGAGAGGCCCCAGGAGCUGUGAGGUCACUCACCUGCUCAGCGUGCUUUUGAAUUCCUGGAAGGAAAGAUAGAGGAAACCAAAUCAGCAUCAGGUAACCUCCAUUCACCUCUGAGAAACAAAGCUUGCCCCUUGCUGUGCCUCCCAGAUGUAAGCAUAAGCAAGUGUGCCACGCCUCACUGCCUGCGUGGGCCUCAGGGGCAGCAGCUUCCAGUGGCUGCUGGCUGCAGGGUGUCUCACCCACGCAGUGGACCUCUCACCCUUUGCCACAACUCUUCACGUGCUUUCUUUCUAUCUUUGCUGCUUUCUUAGUUACAGAAUCAUCACUGGAGCUAUCCCAUGGGACCCAGUGCUGCGUGUGUCCUGGAAACCACCUGAGGGAGGUCACAGCCCUUAUGCACCUACUGCUCACUCAGCCCCAUAAUGACUGUUCUUAACCCAUCUAUGGAUUGUGAAGUUUAUCUAGUUGUUUAUAACUUUUUUUUUAGCGAAAUAGAAUAGAAAACAUCAAAGUGCAUACGUGUAGCAAAGGUGAGUAUUAUUUUCUGAGACUUUUGUCUCAAGCUUGUGAUUCUGAAAUACGAUAUAUAUUAUUGUGGCUCAUAGUCAAGAAAGUUUUCACAUCUCUCUAGACCUCCAACCCCAGGAAAAUCAGGGCACUUCUCUCCAGUCCCCUUCAGCUCCAGAUCAUGUGAUUCUCCUAGACCCCCCAGGACUGACACUGUUCUCUAGCUGCUGGUCCUGAUGCCUUAGGAUAAAUGACUCGAGCCCCUGGCUGAGCCAGACUUACCUGGAGAAAGUCAAGGUCAGGCUUUUGAGCUGUCUCCUGGAUCUGGCUGCUGAGCUUGGACAGCUGGGUGAUCUCAACCCCGAGCUGGGCCAGGUUCUCAUUCUGCUUCUGUGCCACCUCCCGGGACAGUUCCUCCAGGCGGCCUAGCAGCCGACCCUCCUGCUCCACCAGGAAAGCCCUCAGUGCCUGGAACUCUGCCCCCACCUUCUCCUGCUCCGCUGCCAUCUGUUUCUGUCCCAGGAGGAGAAGUUGGAGAGGGACUUGAACAUGGAGACAUAACAUUUGGCCAGUGGCCUGAGUCAUCCCACAGGGCAAGGCUUCGUCCCUGUCACUGCUGGAGGAUCGGAGACACACCCACCUACGCACGCAGUGCGUGCUCUAUUGUCAGUGUCCCAGCUCUGAACAAGCUGUAGUCUGGACACAUGCUCUUUUCUCCCCUGCCACAGAUGCACCCACACAUGUCUGUGGACCUGUGCUCCAUCACCUAAACCAAGGCAGCUUCAUACUCCCCCCAGAACUACGCCAAGCUGCAGCUUCCUCACUUGAAAAGCAGAAGGGAUAAAUUAGUGCCUCCUGGGGCAACCAUAGGAUUAAACUGAGAUUGCUUUUUCUUCCUCAAGCACAUUUAUUUCAUCACCCUCAAACUUUUACACUUCACUUUCUUUUUAAAGGCCAUCUUUCCUGUUUAGCAGUUAUAAUGCUAACACAUGCUCAAAAUACAAAACUUGGGAGAUGUAGGAAAGUAGAAAGAAGGAAGAAAAGUCCGAUGCCAGUGACCAGAGGUAGCAGCACACCCCCAAGGAACGAAGUGAGAAUAUGCGGCAUGCAAGUGUCAUAUUCUGUUCUUUCCAUUAACAGCAUACACCGGAUUUUUUACUCGAGUUUUCAGAUGCAGACUCAUGCCCUGAUCUCUUGAUUUUUUAUGUGAACACACGUUUGGCACUCAAUAUGUCCCACCAGGAAGUUCCUCUUCCUUAAAACUCCUGGGCGGAGGAAGGGAGUCCUGUGAAGUUGGGAGACCUGGGUUCAAGGUGUCCUACAAUGCCCCCACCUUUCCUUCAGCUUCCAGGCAGGCUGCAGUAGCCUGGAGCGCCUUAUGGAUAUUAACUCCCUCAACCCUGACGGCAGCCCAGUGGGGAGGGUGCACUUCCCUUCAAGUCUUACAGGUGAGGAGACAAAAGACAGACACAUCACCAGGAAGUGUUAAGCCAGGCUUCUCGGCCAGUUGCCUCACAAGGAGGUAGCACAAGUGAAACAGUAUUUGCCAAAAUACUCUAAGCCAGGGUUUCCCAACCUUAACACAGUUGACAUUUUGGGCCAGAUACUUCUUGGUUGUAGGGGGCUGCCCUGUGCCUUGUAGGACAUUUAGCCGCCCCUCUGGCCUCUACCACGAAAUGCCAAUAGCAUCCCUAUCCCAUUGUUGACAACCAAAAAUAUAGUAUCUCCAGACUUUGCCAGAUGUCCCCUGGGGUAGGAGCAUUUUCAAAUAAGAGCAUUCCUUCUCCCUUUUGUGUUGCAGCAAUAGUUGGGCUCUACCUCUGAUGUUUCAUUAAGCAGGGUAUUGUAAAUGAGACAAGUGUCAUAAAUCCAGAAGUAUUUUAUUGCUGCAAAGAACAGGUAGAGCUCACACCUGUCAUCUCAGCACUUUGGGAGGCUGAGGGGGGCAAAGUCAGGGGAGAAGGUUGCUUGAGCCCACGAGUUCCAGACCAGCCUGGGCAACACAGGAGACUACCCCCAACCCCAGCUCUACAAAAAAUAAAUUAAAAAUUAGCCGGGUGUAGUAGUGCACACCUGUAGUCCCAGCUACUCAGGAGGCUGAAGUGGGGGGAUCGCUUGAACGACUCCAGCCUUUGUGACAAAGUGAGACUCUGUCUAAAAGCAAAGCAAAACAAAACAACAACAAAAACGAAUGUGGGGGUGGAUGGAUGGAUGUUGGGAGAGGACAGAGGUGGAAGGUGUUAAGCAAGGCCUGGGGACUCCGGUCAGAGACUGUGAAGCUGCCGCCGGUGCCAGGGAAGGCCCUCUGGUUCCUGGAUGUCAACCAGUGGGGGAAGAGCUGCAUUGGGAGUCAUUUCUCCAGUGGAGGAGGGAUGAAGGUCUAGAGGGUGAGCUCUUCCUCAUGGAGGAAAGUGAGUGAUGAGGUAGGAAGGUCUGGGAUGCACACUGGGUGCAGGCAUAACAGAUAUAGUUGAGGGUCUGGAAAGGACCCUAGGGUGUCUGAACUCCAGGCUCCUCCUCCACCCCUCCUGACAUUGAGGAUGGGAGGGUCCUCUAGUUCACCUUCCUUCAAUUCCCUGCCUUGACAGGUCCUAGUAGAUCCUUUCAUUCUUUUUUUUUUUUUUUUUUGAGAUGGAGUUUCACUCUCGUUGCCCAGGCUGGAGUGCAGUGGCAUGAUCUUGGCUGACCGCAACCUCUACCUCCCGGGUUCAAGUGAUUCUCCUGCCUCAGCCUCCCGAGUAGCUGGGAUUACAGGCAUGUGCCACCACGGCAGGCUAAUUUUGUAUUUUAAGUAGAGAUGGGGUUGCUCCAUGUUGGUCAGGCUGGUCUGGAAUUCCCAACCUCAGGUGAUCCGCCCACCUCGACCUCCCAAAGUGCUGGGAUUACGGGCGUAAGCCACCGCACCCAGCCAAUCCUUUUAUUCUUUCAACACCUAUUUACUGAGCUAGGAACUGAAUUUGCAAGGUAGAAAAUGACCGAUGGUGAUUCAUGUUUGCUUAUCUUUUUUUUUUUUUUUAAGGUGGAGUCUCGCUCUGUCUCCCAGGCUGGAGUGCAGUGGCGCGAUCUCGGCUCACUGCAAGCUCUGCCUCCCGGGUUCACACCAUUCUCCUGCCUCAGCCUCCGGAGUAGCUGGGACUACAGGCGCCCGCCACCACGCCCGGCUAUUUUGUAUUUUUAGUAGAGACAGGGGUUUCACCGUGUUUGCCAGGACGGUCUUGAUCUCCUGACCUCGUGAUCCGCCCACCUCGGCCUCCCAAAGUGCUGGGAUUACAGGCGUGAGCCACCCUGCCAGGCCUCAUGUUUGCUUAUCUUAACCAAAAUGAGCCCUCGUUUCACUUUCCUGUUCUACCCUAAGGAAGAUAAAAUAUCAUUCCAACUUGGGGUAGAGGCAGGUGCCAGUACCCAAGACCCUGGGCUGUGCAGCAGGGGCUACUGUAAACCCAAGACCCUAAACUUCCUCCCUCUGCCAGAGCCAGGGAGCAGCUCUGACGCCCUCUAGCCCCUUCUCCGUUAGCCUCGAUUUCAAAUAAAAACACUGUGAACAUGAAAUUUUUUUCACUACUGUUUUGUUGACAAAACAUGCCAUGAGGCUCUUUAUUGUAUUAAUAUUCCCACUUAUUGAAUAUCCAUGUUUCUCUGCAGAAAUAGUAAUGUGUUCCAUUACAAGAUGCUUCCGCAGGCCCUAACUGGUAUGUUACGUAAUAUCAGAGUGACUGAGCGUCCUGAUUCGCUGGGACAGCUCCAGUUUAAGCCAGUUGUUUUGCAAUAAUUAUUUUAGCACUGCUUUUCACUUUAAAAAGCUCUGGUUUGUACAACAAUUAUGUGGACACCCUAUAUAAUAUGGACUCUAUUAUCUUUCUGAAAUCGAUUCUGCGGUUCCAUAGCACACACUCCAACACCACACACACCGAGCCCUGGUGCUGAGUUCUCAGGCCUCUGUAAUGUCCCACGGGGGGCCUGCGGGUGCCUGGCUCACCAGCAGCUCCUUGCUCUCCUUCUUUUCCGUGGACCGGAACACCUCACAGUCCUCCAGUUCCUUCUUCAAGACCCUCAGCCUGGACUCCAAGAGCUCCUGUAGAUGAAGGGAAACAAUGUAAGGUGGGGGUGAGGGGCUUCUGGAAACCCCCACCUCUGCCUUCCUGGAGCCAGCCAGGAGAAAGGGAAGGCCCUGCUCACUGAGGGGGAGGCCGGGUAGAAGUCAUCUCUACAGGCUACAGGUUACACUGCGAGGUGACUCUGAAGGUCUCGGGAUCUUGCUUCCCCAAAAGCAUCUGCUGGACCAGCCAGACUGAAACACAAGCUCCGGCAGCCCUACCCCUAGUCGUCUCCUCUACUCUCCGCCCCCCCACCAGGAAGCCCCGUGGCUGGGAGAGUUGGAGCAGGAUGGGCCAGCAAGGAGAGACUGGGGACUGCCGCCCGAGCCUCCCCGCCCCGCCCUCACCCCUGCACACACCCUCGCUGAGGCUCAGCGAGAAAAUAGCAAAGAAAGGGCCCCCAGAAUCGACAGCGUUGGCACAGUCAGACGGCUCUAGGUGCGCGGCUUAACCCGGGAGCCCCCUCCCUGGACAUCUUGGCGAGGUCCUCUCACUCAGUUCCACGAGGUGGGGACUUUGAGCAGAGCCCGCUUCGGGGAAAGAGAUAAGAGUGGGGGCAGCGGCUGCGUGGCUGUGCCGGAGACUUCCCGCGGGCAGAGAGCUGCGGAGACGCAGACCAGGCUAGAGGCUCCGAACAGACAGGAAGAACAUCGCCAAGUCCGUGGGGGACGUCGCGCAGGCGGCCCAGUAUCUGGCCCAGAGGGAAACGCAGUGGGGGUGGGGUGGGGGUAUUGGUGAUGUUGGGGGUGACAGAGAACCGCGCUCAGCCCGGGAACCAGCGCUGGGCUUCCUGGAAUGGAGAAAGAAGGGAGGGGCUCACCCGGGCCUCCUGAUCGACAGGCUGUUCUCUGCACCCCGUGCGCGGGAGCGCGGGACCAAGUCAGGGGGUCCCGGGGACCCACGGGGUGGGUGGGGGCUGCGCUCACCUUGGCCUCCUGCACCGCCUCGUCCAGCGGCAGCACGGCGUGCUCGCGGUGCUCGCGGGCGCGGUCGCACACCACGCAGAUGGCGCGUCCGUCGUCCUGGCAGUAGAGCUUGAAGGGUUCGCCAUGCUGCCCGCAGCGGGCAGCCGCUGCCCGGGCCGCGGCCGCCUGAGACCCGUGCUCUCCCGGGGCAGCCGCGGGCAGGCUGAAGCGCCGCAGGAGCGUGGCCACUGCCGCCAGCUGCCGGUUGGGCCGCAGCUGACUGGGGCGCGCGGGCUCGCGGCACUGCGGACAGGGCAGUGGGAAGGGGGGCGCGCGGGUGGCGGCCCCAACAGACCCCGCGCCCGGGCGCUCCCAGCAGCGCCCUAUGCAGGCGCGGCAGAAGCUGUGGCCGCACUCGACGGACACCGGCUCACGAAAGAGCUCUAGGCAGAUGGAGCACGUCGCCUCGCCCUGCAGCUCUGCCGCCAGCGCUAGAGCCUCGGCGCCGGUUCCGGGGCCGGUCCGCGGUCCCACAGCCGCCAUGCGCGCUCUCCGCGCACCCAGAUCUGGUCGCGCCUGGGCGGCCACUGGACCUCACAGGACGCGGAGCUGGGCGCCGAGGGCCCACUGGGAGAGGAAGGGCGGGGCUGCCACUGGGCAGGCAGAGACUCGAGCCCGGGGCGCGCCCGGCUGGGAGCCGGGAGGGGAGGCGCACGUUGACUACGGGCCAUUCAAGUGCGGGACAGCGCCCUGCGCCCCGGAUCUGCGCUCCACCAGCCCCCGCCCUGGCCAGCGGCCUCUCCCCCUCGCCCCCGUCCCUCAGACUCUCCAGGCCGCCCCAGCCUGACCCAGUCAGCCGCGGGAAACGGGCCGCGACAGGUGGGCGCACAAAUGCUGCCAGCGCCACUCCCGGUUUCCGACCGAGGCCGACCCAGCAUCGCCGGGGCAAGGGCCUGGCGCUCGGGCCACGGUGUCAGGUUCCGCCAGCGCAGGUUCGCCCCGGCCCUGUGCUGAGUUAAAUUUAGAGACUGGAACCUGGUCCUGUCCCCUCACGCGCAAGCGUGGCCUUGUAUCCAUUCCAUUACCUUUUCUGCGACUGUCCUCCGGCUUCUUUACUCUUUACUUAGUAUUUGAACAGAUAACACAUUUAUAAUUUCCCAUUGUAUUCAGUAUUAUUCCCCCCCCACCGCACACACACACACACACACACACACACACACAAACCUCAGCGCUCUCUUGUCCCCCAGCUGUCUCCACAGCCCCGCAGCAGAGCUGCCUGUGUUAUCCGCUUCCACACCCUCUCUCCUCGCUCACUCUGGAGGCCACUUGGAUCAAGCUUUCGCCCGCACCCUCCUCAGAAACCGCCCUUGCCAAUGUCACCGGGAACUUCAGCAAUUCUCACCCAAAGGCGAAGACCUCGCCUCACCUCAUCUGCCCCCGGAUGCUCCCUCCUUCCCGACUUCCCUUCUCAGGGCCUUCCAGGACCCAGUGUCCCCGAUCUUCUUGCUGUUCCUGAACCCCGUGGCCUCUGCGCUGGCUGUUCCCCUUGCGUGGACCUCUUUUCUCCCACCACCUGCAUGCUCCCUCCCACCUCAUUCAGGUCUUGUUUCAAACGUCUCUGCCCACGAAGCCCGCCCCGAACGCGCACACUGUGUAAAGUCGUCUCUUAGCGCGCUCCCUUCUCAGGGCCGGCUCUGUGCCCGCACUCUAUCUCCUCUGGAAUGUCAGCUUUCAGAUGGACUGUACUAGGUUUGUUCACGGCUGAAUCCUGUUUUUAGAGCAGUUCUUGGCAAGCUCAGUAAGGUUUUCUUGGAUUAAACUUGGUUCGAAAUU
rnacentral:lncRNA from 1 species